UGCCAACACGUCAUUAUUCCAUCAUAUUGUUGAACAAAUGGGCGGGGGAGGGGCGGGGCCCAUCCCCCUGCACCCCCGCCCCAUAAACAACAAAACCGCCGAAUUGGGAGAAGCCCCACACGUUGGCACCAAUGUAUCAAUGUUUCUCGAUCUGGAAUUAUCUCGCGAAAAAUACGAGACAUAUUCCACUGACCAUUCAAUGGAUUGUCGUUCAUUUUGUAACCUAUGUUAAUAAAUCUACAAUCAAUCUACAAUCUA